AGAGUUUGAUCCUGGCUCAGAUUGAACGCUGGCGGCAUGCCUAACACAUGCAAGUCGAACGGCAGCACAGUGUGUAGCAAUACACAUGGGUGGCGAGUGGCGGACGGGUGAGUAAUGCAUAGGAAUCUGCCCAGUAGCGGGGGACAACCCGGAGAAAUCCGGGCUAAUACCGCAUACGCCCUACGGGGGAAAGCGGGGGACCGAAAGGCCUCGCACUAUUGGAUGAGCCUAUGUCGGAUUAGCUAGUUGGUAGGGUAACGGCCUACCAAGGCGACGAUCCGUAGCUGGUCUGAGAGGACGAUCAGCCACACCGGAACUGAGACACGGUCCGGACUCCUACGGGAGGCAGCAGUGGGGAAUAUUGGACAAUGGGGGCAACCCUGAUCCAGCAAUGCCGCGUGUGUGAAGAAGGCCUGCGGGUUGUAAAGCACUUUCGGUGGGGACAAAAAGUGGCGGGAUAACACCCUGCUAUCUUGAUUUAACCCAUAGAAGAAGCACCGGCUAACUCUGUGCCAGCCGCCGCGGUAAUUC
rnacentral:rRNA from 1 species